rnacentral:rRNA from 1 species
UGGGGAAUAUUGCACAAUGGGGGAAACCCUGAUGCAGCGACGCCGCGUGAGCGAUGAAGUAUUUCGGUAUGUAAAGCUCUAUCAGCAGGGAAGAAAAUGACGGUACCUGACUAAGAAGCUCCGGCUAAAUACGUGCCAGCAGCCGCGGUAAUACGUAGGGGGCAAGCGUUAUCCGGAUUUACUGGGUGUAAAGGGAGCGUAGACGGCAUGGCAAGUCUGAAGUGAAAGCCCGGGGCUCAACCCCGGGACUGCUUUGGAAACUGUCAGGCUAGAGUGCUGGAGAGGUAAGUGGAAUUCCUAGUGUAGCGGUGAAAUGCGUAGAUAUUAGGAGGAACACCAGUGGCGAAGGCGGCUUACUGGACGGUAACUGACGUUGAGGCUCGAAAGCGUGGGGAGCAAACAGGAUUAGAUACCC